UGCGGAGUGGAGAAGUGGUCAUCUCGUCUGGCUCAUAACCAGAAGAUCGUGGGUUCGAAUCCCACCUGCCGCAACCA
rnacentral:tRNA from 1 species